AGAUUGCAGGCUGCAACCCGCCUGCAUGAAGUCGGAAUUGCUAGUAAUCGCGGAUCAGCAUGCCGCGGUGAAUACGUUCCCGGGCCUUGUACACACCGCCCGUCACACCAUGGGAGCCGGUAAUACCCGAAGUCCGUAGUCCAACCUCGUGAGGACGCUGCCGAAGGUAGGAUUGGCGACUGGGGUGAAGUCGUAACAAGGUACC
rnacentral:rRNA from 1 species